GACGUAGGAGGCGAGCGUUGUCCGGAUUCAUUGGGCGUAAAGAGCGCGCAGGCGGCUUGGUAAGUCGGAUGUGAAAACCCGAGGCUCAACCUCGGGCGUGCAUCCGAAACUGCUCGGCUAGAGGUAGGUAGGGGAGAUCGGAAUUCCUGGUGUAGCGGUGAAAUGCGCAGAUAUCAGGAGGAACACCGAUGGCGAAGGCAGCUCGCUGGGACGGUACUGACGCUGAGGCGCGAAAGCGUGGGGAGCGAACAGG
rnacentral:rRNA from 1 species